rnacentral:pre_miRNA from 1 species
CUAUUUUUAGUUGUAGACUCGAUGUUGUUAUAUUUAAAUUGAAAAAUAACAACAUCGAGUCUACAGCUAAAAAUAGG